rnacentral:rRNA from 1 species
UAGUAUGAAUGGCAUCACGAGGGUUAAACUGUCUCCCCCUUUUAAUCAGUGAAACUGAUCUCCCCGUGAAGAAGCGGGGAUAUUUAUAUAAGACGAGAAGACCCCAUGGAGCUUUAAACUUAACACUACCUGCCAGCCCACAUAUCUAAUCAAACAGACAGAGCUAGAAGUUAGUUUUCGGUUGGGGUGACCGCGGAGUAAAACAAAACCUCCACGAUGAAUGACUUCCUCUAAUCAAAGAGCUACAACUCGAAGAAUCAACAAACUGACAUAAAUUGACCCAAUAUUACUUUGAUCAACGAACCAAGUUACCCUGGGGAUAACAGCGCAAUCCAUUUCAAGAGCUCCUAUCGACAAAUGG